UGUCAGUAUAUUACAAAUGUUAAUAUGAGCAAUGGAAGAAUGCCGGUUCCGGUGCGACCAAAUGGAACCGCAACAUCAGGAUCAAUGCCCCCUGUUUCUACCAUUGAUUAAGAAUUUGUUAUGGAUAAGACAGAGAGCAAAAUGGAAGAUGUGUCAGUUCUCCAAAUUGCUCCAGCACCAGCACCUACUACUGAUGUAUCAGUAAAAGAGGAGACCAAAGAAGAAACUCAUCCUCCAAAAGAUGUAACAAUCAAACACGAAGAGAUACAAGAAAUUCCAGAGGACGUUGAUCUCGAUGAUGAGAAAUGGUGGCGUGACAAUAUGGAUGAGAUCCUUGAGAUGUUUAAGCCAUAUGAUCACUAAAUUUUUAACCUCGUGAUGCAAGUACUUGAAAUUUGAGCUUUUAGUUUUCAACAUUUAUGUUUAAGACUUAUCUUUCCUUAUUUGUGUGCUACUUU
rnacentral:lncRNA from 1 species